GGCUGCUCUGAUGGUAGUGGGUUAUCAGAACUUAUUAACAUUAGUGUCACUAAAGUUGGUAUACAACCAUCCACUGCUAAAUUUGACUAGCAAAA
rnacentral:Y_RNA from 1 species